rnacentral:rRNA from 1 species
GAUGAACGCUGGCGGCGUGCCUAAUACAUGCAAGUCGAGCGAACGGACGAGAAGCUUGCUUCUCUGAUGUUAGCGGCGGACGGGUGAGUAACACGUGGAUAACCUACCUAUAAGACUGGGAUAACUUCGGGAAACCGGAGCUAAUACCGGAUAAUAUUUUGAACCGCAUGGUUCAAAAGUGAAAGACGGUCUUGCUGUCACUUAUAGAUGGAUCCGCGCUGCAUUAGCUAGUUGGUAAGGUAACGGCUUACCAAGGCAACGAUGCAUAGCCGACCUGAGAGGGUGAUCGGCCACACUGGAACUUCGUCACGGUCCAGACUCCUACGGGAGGCAGCAGUUGGGAAUCUUCCGCAAUGGGCGAAAGCCUGACGGAGCAACGCCGCGUGAGUGAUGAAGGUCUUCGGAUCGUAAAACUCUGUUAUUAGGGAAGAACAUAUGUGUAAGUAACUGUGCACAUCUUGACGGUACCUAAUCAGAAAGCCACGGCUAACUACGUG